rnacentral:misc_RNA from 1 species
UCUCCGUAGGUGAACCUGCGGAAGGAUCAUUAUUGAAACUUCAUCCAGGGCGCCGCAGCCCUCAGCACCGGUGGAAACGCCGUGCUGGGGGGGCCGCGCGUGCACUCCUCCACACCUAGCCCCUGUGAACCUUCCGGUAUGGCCCGGGUUAGCGCCCGGUGCCGUUCCGCCUCAUACAAACACUUAUCAAAGAAUUAACUGAAGGCGGUCUGAACGCUGGUUAACAAACAGAAAAAACUUUCAACAACGGAUCUCUUGGCUCUC